GACGAACGCUGGCGGCGUGCUUAACACAUGCAAGUCACGGGGGCUGGGCAACCAGCAACCGGCGAACGGGUGCGUAACACGUGAACAACCUGCCCUCGUGUGGGGGAUAGCCAUGCUAACGCGUGGGUAAUACCGCAUACGUUCUCUCUGGGGAGUCCUGGGGAGAGGAAAGCCGUGGGGCAACCCACGGUGCACGGGGAGGGUUCGCGGCCUAUCAGCUAGUUGGCGAGGUCACGGGCCACCAAGGCGACGACGGGUAGCUGGUCUGAGAGGACGAAUCAGCCACACUGGAACUGAGACACGGUCCAGACUCCUACGGGAGGCAGCAGUGGGGAAUUUUGCACAAUGGGCGAAAGCCUGAUGCAGCAAACGCCGCGUGUGUGAUGAAGGUCUUCGGAUCGUAAAGCAACUUUCGACCGGGACGAACAACCUCU
rnacentral:rRNA from 1 species